rnacentral:rRNA from 1 species
AUUGAACGCUGGCGGCAUGCUUUACACAUGCAAGUCGAACGGUAACAGGCCGCAAGGUGCUGACGAGUGGCGAACGGGUGAGUAAUGCAUCGGAACGUGCCCAGUCGUGGGGGAUAACGCAGCGAAAGCUGCGCUAAUACCGCAUACGAUCUAUGGAUGAAAGCGGGGGACCGUAAGGCCUCGCGCGGUUGGAGCGGCCGAUGUCAGAUUAGGGAGUUGGUGGGGUAAAGGCUCACCAAGCCAACGAUCUGUAGCUGGUCUGAGAGGACGACCAGCCACACUGGGACUGAGACACGGCCCAGACUCCUACGGGAGGCAGCAGUGGGGAAUUUUGGACAAUGGGCGCAAGCCUGAUCCAGCAAUGCCGCGUGCAGGAAGAAGGCCUUCGGGUUGUAAACUGCUUUUGUACGGAACGAAACGGCUCUGGUUAAUACCCGGGGCUAAUGACGGUAACCGGAGAAGAAGCCCCGGCUAACUUCGUGCCAGCAGCCGCCGUAACAC